rnacentral:ncRNA from 1 species
AUAGGUGUCAUUUUAUGACUUAAUAGGGGAAAUUGGUGUAAAACCAAUGCGGUCCCGCCACUGUAAAUGGUUGAUAACAAAGAAACCUGCUAUCUAUGUAAUAGCAGGAAUCUGUGAUAUUAAACCAUGAGCCAGGAAACCUGCCUAUCUUCC